rnacentral:rRNA from 1 species
UUGCAAAAUGGGCGAAAGCCCGAUGCAGCAACGCCGCGUGGGCGAUGAAGGCCUUCGGGUCGUAAAGCCCUUUUUGAGGGGAUGAGGAAGGACAGUACCCUCAGAAUAAGCCUCGGCUAACUACGUGCCAGCAGCCGCGGUAAAACGUAGGAGGCGAGCGUUAUCCGGAUUUACUGGGCGGAAAGCGCGUGCAGGCGGAUUGGAGAGUUGGAUGUGAAAGCUCCCGGCUUAACUGGGAGAGGUCGUUCAAUACUUCCAGACGUGAGUGCAGUAGAGGGAAGUGGAAUUCCGGGUGUAGUGGUGAAAUGCGUAGAUAUCCGGAGGAACACCAGUGGCGAAAGCGGCUUCCUGGACUGUAACUGACGCUCAGACGCGAAAGCUAGGGUAGCAAACG